rnacentral:misc_RNA from 1 species
GAAAUGCGAUAAUUUAUGCGAAUUGCAGAAUUCAGUGAAUCAUCGAGUCUUUGAACGCACAUUGCGCCCCCUGGUAUUCCGGGGGGCAUGCCUGUCCGAGCGUCAUUGCUACCCUCAAGCACGGCUUGUGUGUUGGGCUUCCGUCCCUGGCAACGGGGACGGGCCCAAAAGGCAGUGGCGGCACCAUGUCUGGUCCUCGAGCGUAUGGGGCUUUGUCACCCGCUCCCGUAGGUCCAGCUGGCAGCUAGCCUCGCAACCAAUCUUUUUAACCAGGUUGACCUCGGAUCAGGUAGGGAUACCCGCUGAACUUAAGC